rnacentral:rRNA from 1 species
GCGUUAAUCGGAAUUACUGGGCGUAAAGCGUGCGCAGGCGGUUAUGUAAGACAGAUGUGAAAUGCCCGGGCUCAACCUGGGAACUGCAUUUGUGACUGCAUGGCUAGAGUUUGGCAGAGGGGGGUAGAAUUCCACGUGUAGCAGUGAAAUGCGUAGAUAUGUGGAGGAAUACCGAUGGCGAAGGCAGCCCCCUGGGUCAAGACUGACGCUCAUGCACGAAAGCGUG